rfam:Fusarium langsethiae strain Fl201059 Fl201059_contig337, whole genome shotgun sequence.
UCGAAUGCCUGCUGGGGACAAAUGUUGUGGACAUGAGUAUCGACUCCACCGGCAGUAACAAUCAUACCCCCAGCGUCGAUGAUAUCCGUGUUUGAUCCAAUAACCAUGUUGUCAGAAACACCAUCCAUCGUAUUUGGGUUACCAGCUUUUCCAAUCCCAACAAUGGUACCGUCUUUGAUACCAAUGUCAGCCUUGUAAAUGCCACUCCAAUCAAUGAUGAUAGCGUUGACGAUAGCCAAGUCGAGACAAUCGGCAUCGGCGCAGCCGCUUGCGGCUCCCAUUCCAUCACGA